AUGCAUGGGGAACCUGCUGUGAAGAAGAUGAAAGUUGUUCCCAAGCAAGCCCACCGAGGAUGCUGCGCACAGCAGGGUCACGGAAGAGCCAUGCCCAUGGCCCGUCCUUCACCCAGAUCCUCCAGCUCCGUCACGAGCAGCCAAGCAAACCCUUCCUGCGCGCUGCUGUAUGGACUCUGCGGGUUUAUUUGCUUCUCAGAGUGAAUUAAUAAAAUGGAAAAUGAGGACGAGUGGUUGCA
rnacentral:lncRNA from 1 species